rnacentral:rRNA from 1 species
CCUACGGGAGGCAGCAGUGGGGAAUAUUGGGCAAUGGGGGCAACCCUGACCCAGCAACGCCGCGUGAAUGAAGAAGGCCUUCGGGUUGUAAACUUCUUUUCACAGGGAAGAGUAAAGUGCCGUUCCUGUCGAAUAAGCCACCGCUAACUACGUGCCAACAGGCGCGGGAAUACGUAGGUGGCGAGCGUUUUCCGGAUUUACUGGGUGUAAAGGGCGGGUAGCCGGGUUGAUAAGUCAGGUGGGAAAGCCUGCGGCUUAACCGCAGAACUGCAUUUGAAACUGUCGGUCUUGAGUACAGGAGGGGCAGCCGGAAUUCCUAGUGUAGCGGUGAAAUGCGUAGAUAUUAGGAGGAACACCAGUGGCGAAGGCGGGUUGCUGGACUGUAACUGACACUGAGGCGCGAAAGCGUGGGGAGCAAACAGGAUUAGAUACCCUUGUAGUC